GGUCUAUGGCUGAUCAAGAAGAGCCAUGGCCUAGGCUAGUGGCCCACAUUGAAUUCCAAAAUUUUGGGCAAAUUUGAUUGGAUGGCGUCAAUAUCUGGAGUCUGGAAGCAACCACAGUUCACAACACAUCGCUUACUAGAAAGAAUAACCAGGCACCGUAUGUUGACAGCAAGAAUUCUUCUGUUCAACAUACUGCUUCUAUUAGUAGCAUGUGUUCCUUUUCAUGCAGAAUGCGCAUUUUUUGCCCUUUCUGAAAGAGGCAGGUUUAGAUUGAGACGAUUCGUCAAACAAUGCAGAGAAAUUUAGAACUAGCUUGACUGCAAAUGUGCUUCGUGCUCUUUUCCUGGUUUCUUAUCUGAAGAAGAUUAUGCUGUGCAAGCUCCAAUAACUGAAUAUUAUGGAUUCCAUAUAUCCAGGUGAUCACUGAUGAGCAGAGCUUCUUCACAGUUCAGUACUUUAACCAUGCAUGGAAGUAGCUAUGUCUAAAUUGUUUAUUUACUGUUUUGUUU